CUACGGGAGGGCAGCAGUAGGGAAUCUUCCGCAAUGGACGAAAGUCUGACGGAGCAACGCCGCGUGAGUGAUGAAGGUUUUCGGAUCGUAAAGCUCUGUUGUUAGGGAAGAACAAGUACCGUUCGAAUAGGGCGGUACCUUGACGGUACCUAACCAGAAAGCCACGGCUAACUACGUGCCAGCAGCCGCGGUAAUACGUAGGUGGCAAGCGUUGUCCGGAAUUAUUGGGCGUAAAGGGCUCGCAGGCGGUUCCUUAAGUCUGAUGUGAAAGCCCCCGGCUCAACCGGGGAGGGUCAUUGGAAACUGGGGAACUUGAGUGCAGAAGAGGAGAGUGGAAUUCCACGUGUAGCGGUGAAAUGCGUAGAGAUGUGGAGGAACACCAGUGGCGACGGCGACUCUCUGGUCUGUAACUGACGCUGAGGGAGCGAAAGCGUGGGG
rnacentral:rRNA from 1 species